rnacentral:rRNA from 1 species
CAGCAGCCGCGGUAAUACGGAGGGUCCGAGCGUUAAUCGGAAUUACUGGGCGUAAAGCGUGCGCAGGCGGUUUGUUAAGCGAGAUGUGAAAGCCCUGGGCUCAACCUAGGAAUAGCAUUUCGAACUGGCGAACUAGAGUUUUGUAGAGGGGGGUAGAAUUCCAGGUGUAGCGGUGAAAUGCGUAGAGAUCUGGAGGAAUACCGGUGGCGAAGGCGGCCCCCUGGACAAAGACUGACGCUCAUGCACGAAAGCGUGGGGAGCAAACAGGAUUAGAUACCCCUGUAGUCCCUGUCUCUUAUAC